rnacentral:rRNA from 1 species
GAUGAACGCUAGCGGCAGGCCUAACACAUGCAAGUCGAGGGGCAGCAUAAAUAUAGUUUACUAUAUUGGUGGCGACCGGCGCACGGGUGCGUAACGCGUAUGCAACCUACCUUGUACUGGGGUAUAGCCCGGAGAAAUUCGGAUUAACCCCCCAUAGUAUUAUGUUGAAGCAUUUCAGUAUAAUUAAAACUCAGGUGGUACGAGAUGGGCAUGCGUCCUAUUAGCUAGAUGGUGAGGUAACGGCUCACCAUGGCGACGAUAGGUAGGGGGCCUGAGAGGGUGAUCCCCCACACUGGUACUGAGACACGGACCAGACUCCUACGGGAGGCAGCAGUGAGGAAUAUUGGUCAAUGGGCGCAAGCCUGAACCAGCCAUGCCGCGUGCAGGAAGAAUGCCCUAUGGGUUGUAAACUGCUUUUGUACGGAACGAAAAGGUUUGGGUUAAUACCCUGGGCUGAUGACGGUACCGUAAGAAUAAGCACCGGCUAACUACGUGCCAGCCGCCGCCGUAA